UACGUAGGGGGCGAGCGUUGUCCGGAGUUACUGGGCGUAAAGGGCACGCAGGCGGUGCGGCGCGUUUCGCGUGACAGCGGAGGGCUUAACUCUCCGAGGAUGCGAAAGACGGCGGCACUUGAGGGCCAGAGAGGGACACGGAAUUCCGGGUGGAGUGGUGAAAUGCGCAGAUAUCGGGAGGAACACCGGUGGCGAAGGCGGUUCUCUGGGCCUUACCUGACGCUGAGGAGCGAAAGCGUGGGGAGCGAACAGG
rnacentral:rRNA from 1 species